UCGUGGAGUGAUCUGUCUGCUUAAUUGCGUUUCACUUAUGGCUCAUUUGUGUUUAUACCUUUGUGUUGACCGCACUGCAUAUUUCUGUGGUGUUUGCGUCCGCUUAGGGAUACACGAUGUAGCCUCGAAGGCAACGAACGUGACCGCAACCUCUUGUUGCCUCCCACGUGCUUGGCUGGAAAUGUUAGAAUUUUUCUACGAACUUUCAGUAUUCCAAGCCACGGUUAG
rnacentral:rRNA from 1 species